rnacentral:lncRNA from 1 species
CCCCUUUGUCUAUAAUUUAGUUAAUUUAGUUAACGUGUUGUAAAAAAGUGACGUCAAAGCAUACGCAUAGUUGAUACUGCUGUUAUUCUAAAAUAGUGAAGUUGCUAAUCUAAGUAGCUAACCGAUUAUCAAAAGCGUACAGACGAAGAAAUCGACAAGGAUCAACGGCUAAUUGGCGAUUACUUCUUUAACCAUCAAUUGCGAGUGGGCUCCACUCACAAAAUGUUAAAGUACCAAGUGGGGGUCUUGUGGGUCCAGCACACACAGAGAGAACCCCACAAGAAGAUGAAUCAUUGUCAAGAAGAGUAGAAGAAUCUGCCCACUUGAACGGAGUUGGCUUGGAGCGUUGGAGAUAUAACAGAAAUGAAUCAGAGGGCGCAACACAGUUCCAUGUGCAACUGUGUUCAGAGAUUCUGAAAGGCCUUCCUUUGCUGGUUGCCUCAACUGUUUUUGAAUGUUCAAUGAUCCUAGUUAAUGGGCUGUGGGUCCAAAGCCCCUCCACUGUGUGUGACGGCUCAAUUUAUGGGUUCACAUGGCCUCAGUUCUCGCCCAUACUGAUUUUGCACUUUUUGAAGAAGAGAAGAGAUUCAGUUGCGCAGUGAGAGAGUAUCAGAGCUCCUGUCUGCUUCCCCGAAAACGAUAUAAAAAAAGAAUCAACUUGCUUCUUCUCUAUGGACCCAUUUUGCAUCUGGAUGGAAUCUUUGCGUUUCAUUCAUCUUGUAGAUAAGAUAAAUAUAUUUGUUUGAUUAUUAUAUAGAGAUCCCAUUUCCUCCUUUCUAAUAUAAAUUCAAUGCCA